UUUCCCUCAGGAUAGCUGGCACUCGUUAUUUCAACGAGUCUCAUCUGGUAAAGCGAAUGAUUAGAGGCCUUGGGGCCGAAACGACCUCAACCUAUUCUCAAACUUUAAAUGGGUGAGAUCUCUGGCUUGCUUGAAUUGUGAAGCCAUGAGAUAAGGGGGGUGGGUCCAUUCGGGCCCUCUCCCCAUUGGAUCAGAGUGCCAAGUGGGCCAAUUUUGGUAAGCAGAACUGGCGCUGUGGGA
rnacentral:rRNA from 1 species